AGUGAACGCUGGCGGUAUGCCUAACACAUGCAAGUCGAACGCCAGCACAGUAAACGCUUGCUAUUACGGGUGGCGAGUGGCGGACGGGUGAGGAAUACAUCGGCAUCUACUUUUUCGUGGGGGAUAACGUAGGGAAACUUACGCUAAUACAUCAUACCACCUACGAGUAAAAGCAGGUGAUCUUCGUACAUUUCCCGAUUGAAUGAACCGAUUUCCGAUUAGCUAGUUAGCGGGGAAAAGGCCACCCAAGGCGACGAUCCGUACCUGGUCUGCGGGGAUGACGAGCCAAACUGGAACUGAGCACGGGUCCAGAUCCCUAGGGGGGGAGGCGGUGGGGAUUUUUGGACAAUGGCGGCAAGCCUAAUCCAGCCAUACGGGGGGGGUGAAGAAGGCUUUCGGUUUGUAAAGUCUUUUUGUAGGGAAAGAAAAGCAGCAGGUUAAUACCCCGCUGUUCUGACGGUACCCAAAGAAUAAGCACCGGCUAACUUCGUG
rnacentral:rRNA from 1 species